AUUGAACGCUGGCGGCAUGCCUUACACAUGCAAGUCGAACGGCAGCACGGGAGCAAUCCUGGUGGCGAGUGGCGAACGGGUGAGUAAUAUAUCGGAACGUGCCCAGUCGUGGGGAUAACGUAGCGAAAGCUACGCUAAUACCGCAUACGAUCUAUGGAUGAAAGCGGGGGAUCGCAAGACCUCGCGCGAUUGGAGCGGCCGAUAUCAGAUUAGGUAGUUGGUGAGGUAAAGGCUCACCAAGCCGACGAUCUGUAGCUGGUCUGAGAGGACGACCAGCCACACUGGGACUGAGACACGGCCCAGACUCCUACGGGAGGCAGCAGUGGGGAAUUUUGGACAAUGGACGCAAGUCUGAUCCAGCCAUUCCGCGUGCAGGAUGAAGGCCCUCGGGUUGUAAACUGCUUUUGUACGGAACGAAAGGUUUCUAUUAAUACUAGGAGCUCAUGACGGUACCGUAAGAAUAAGCACCGGCUAACUACGUGCC
rnacentral:rRNA from 1 species